GAUGAACGCUGGCGGCGUGCUUAACACAUGCAAGUCGAACGAUGAAGCCCAGCUUGCUGGGUAGAUUAGUGGCGAACGGGUGAGUAACACGUGAGUAACCUGCCCUUAACUCUGGGAUAAGCCUGGGAAACUGGGUCUAAUACCGGAUAGGUGCGUACACUGAAUGGUGGGUGUUGGAAAGAUUUAUCGGUUUUGGAUGGACUCGCGGCCUAUCACCUUGUUGGUGAGGUAAUGGCUCACCAAGGCGACGACGGGUAGCCGGCCUGAGAGGGUGACCGGCCACACUGGGACUGAGACACGGCCCAGACUCCUACGGGGGGCAGCAGUGGGGAAUAGUGCACAAUGGGCGGAAGCCUGAUGCAGCGACGCCGCGUGAGGGAAGACGGCCGGCGGGGUGUAAACCUCUUUCAGUAGGGAAGAAGCGAAAGUGACGGUACCUGCAGAAGAAGCACCGGCUAACUACGUG
rnacentral:rRNA from 1 species